rnacentral:rRNA from 1 species
AUUGAACGCUGGCGGCAGGCCUAACACAUGCAAGUCGAGCGAGCGGCGGACGGGUGAGUAAUGUCUGGGGAUCUGCCUGAUGGAGGGGGAUAACUACUGGAAACGGUGGCUAAUACCGCAUACCAUCGGAUGUACCCAUAUGGGAUUAGCUAGUAGGUGGGGUAAAGGCUCACCUAGGCGACGAUCUCUAGCUGGUCUGAGAGGAUGAUCAGCCACACUGGGACUGAGACACGGUCCAGACUCCUACGGGAGGCAGCAGUGGGGAAUAUUGCACAAUGGGCGCAAGCCUGAUGCAGCCAUGCCGCGUGUGUGAAGAAGGCCUUAGGGUUGUAAAGUACUUUCAGCGGGGAGGCGUUACCCGCAGAAGAAGCACCGGCUAACUCCGUGCCAGCAGCCGCGGUAAUAC